rnacentral:tRNA from 1 species
GCGGGGGUAAUUCAGUGGUAGAAUGCAAGCUUCCCAAGCUUGACGCCGCGGGUUCGAGUCCCGUCCCCCGCUCCA